GGCGGCGUGGUGUAAUGGCUAACACAUCAGUCCGGUGGAAAAUUUCCUAUUGAAUUUUUCUACUUAAGAUGCUGGUUCGCUCCCAGCCGCCGAAU
rnacentral:tRNA from 1 species